GACCUCAUUACCUUUUCAACUUGGCGACCGAACGCUCAGCUAUGAAAUUGGCAUUGACAUUUGUUUACGUGACGCUUUUUGAGCCUUCGUUUCACUUUUUUAUUCGUUUGAGGUGAAUAAUACAGUUGAUUUAUGGAGGAUGCAGAAAUGAGGACAGCGUACAAAAAAAGAGGAGAAAAGAAAAAUUAGGGGGGCGGAACUAUCUCCGUUACAUAUAUAAGCCGAUAUACCUGUGUCGAGAGUGAUUCGAUUGGGAACCUACAGGAUAAGUGCUAGCGUUUCUUCGGCAAAAAAUUUCUCCGCGUGUAGUGAAAAUGAAAUUCAGCUGUGCACUUGGGAUUAUUGGCCUUAGCUUACUUCUCUUCCUAGAGACUCCUCGGGCUGCAAGUCCCCCGGCAAGUCGCCCGGCGAGCCCAGGAAGAGCUGGAUCAUCGUCAGCGGCACCAGACAAUUGGUAUGAAAAACGGAUGAAGCGGAACCAACAAAUGAAGCCGAAGUUAUUACUAAUUGCCGAAACCGAAAUUCAAUGCCCUUUGAACGAGGAUGAUCCACAAUACGAUGAAUAUAUAGAAAAAGCAAACGAUAGAUGCAUAAAUGCAUUCAAAUUUCUGAGAGAAGAGUUCGAAGAAGCAGAGAUCGGUAUUUGUAAGCGUUCCACUCACGCUAGGUGCAAAAAGGGAAAGUGCACAGCACAGGUUCAAAACCGAGACAUGAACUUAAGCUGGCAUGAAGUAGACUUAAAAGAAUGCACUGAAAAAAUACCGACGGAUUAAUAAUAAAUAUAUAUAAAGGUACUAUAAAGGGACACCUAUAAAGGGACUGUAGCUGUGCCUUUAUCAAACAUAUUUUAACCCUGUAUGUUACAAAUUUUUGGGGUUUUUAAAAAUUGAAUCUUUUCUCUAAAGUAUGAUUUUGCAAAUUUUUAUCAGUUUUUUCUUUUUUCGAAUAACUGAUUCCCAAGAAUUUUAAAUUGUGAAAUAAAAUUUGGUAACGCAUGUUUUUUAUAAAAGCUAUUAAAUAUACUAGUGUCCCCCAGAAAAAUCUGAGAUCCAAAAUCAAUUCUACUAAGUAUAGAGGGUCAACAAAGUGCUACUACCUAAAAUUUUUACAUCAGUAAAUUCAUAAAUAUUUCAAACAGGCAGUGAGCUGAUUAUUUUUGAAAGACAAACUGAUAGACGAAGAGAAAAUGCAGCGAUCCUAUGGGUGCAAGCAAUGGCCGAAAGAGAGGAGUAAUGGAUUCACGAAGGUAGCCCACGAAAGACGACCCUAUAGUUGGUCCAUAAUUUUCGCAUUUAGUCUACAACAACCACUCGUGCCAACCAGUAGGAUAGCUCCAUUUACUUUUCGUUCUCGUUGUCUGUCGCUUUGUCUAUCGAUUUCAAUAAUCAGCCAGCUGGUCGUACCGCGACCGCGGGCGAUGUAAAACUGCAGCUCGGUCACAAAUGCGGGCUAAAUUGGACCGUACAAACCAAGACGGUUACAGUACUUCUGGUCCAAUUUUUUUCGUCCAAUGUUAUCGUUCGUCCAGCGUUCUUUGGUCACAAUUUUGUGGUCCAGUAAGAUUAAAAACUUAGGUCCAAAACCCGGUCGAAUGAGAGAAACGUUCAUGUAAAAUGUAUCAGAACCUUCCGGCUCAACCCAGUCUUCAUCCUUGGCACUCAAACUCCUGCCGGAGUGGGAGUGUUGAUGCGAUUCCAGCAAGUUGGCAACACUGUUUUUCCUCCGUUUAAAUGCAUCUGCCUGUGUCACACUUUCAAAUCUAGCCAUCAAAAUAUCAAGGUCAGGCGUUGUGAUUGGCUCACAGCACUUGCCCUUGACAUUUUGAUGGAGUGUUUUGAUAGUGUGACCCUGACACAGGCUAUUGAAUAUAUCGAUUCUAGGUGAGGCAGUCUGCCUCCCCUCAAAUCGAUUGUUUGACAUGUAUGUAAAUGGAGAAAAAUCAAAAUUGCCAACUUACUAGAAUCGCCACUAUGCUGCCGUGCUAAGGAGGAACGCCGUAUGAACAUUCAAGAGUUGCCAAAUUUCCUUCAAAAAAUGUUUAUUUUUCAGGAAAGAUAUUAAUAUUUUUCUUUGAGAUUUUCAGAGACCUUGGGUGAAAUUGCGAACAAAGUGAUCUGAAAAAUUUGAAGUAAAAUAAUCAUAAAUUUACCAGGAAAUUCAUGUUUAUUUAAAGUAAAUUUGGCAACGCCUGAAGGUUCAUACGACGUUCUUCCUUAGCACGGCAGUAUGUGAUUGUGGUGAAAUUGCGCGUGGCGUAUGCAGCUUGAGGUGGUAGGCACAGGCUCGGUCGGGGGUACUUCUGAACUAAGUUUGUGUCCCUAUACUGCCGUGCUAAGGAACGACGCCGUAUAAACUAUCAAGAGUUGCCAAAUUUCCCUUAAUAAAACAUGUAUUUUAUCCACCUACAUGCUUAUUUUUUCUAAGGAAACUUGGCAACGUCUGAAGGUUCAUACGGCGUUCUUUUUAGCACGGCAGUAUAAUGAUUGUAAUUUCUGACAAUGUUGCCAGUAGGGUAUUAAGGCUGUAUCCGAACGGCGUCCCUGGCCAUUCCGAAUUGUGUCCCGAGCUCUACCCGAAUUGCGUCCAGCGCAUAUUGGGAAGGUGGCAACACUCCGUAUGAAAGGCGAUGUUAAUCGAUGAUGAUCGAGCAUAUUCAGUGAAAAAUUGCCGGUGUUUUCUAAAUGUUAGUAUCGAUGGCGAAAUUAUUGAAUCUAAUGCGAAACACAAUCACAAAAAACUUGACGAUAACGUUUUGACGAGACAAAAAGUCAGCAACUCUGUAAAAAAAAGCAGCAGCAGACAUUUUUUGCCCGUAAAAAAGUAAUUCUUCUAGUGAAACUACCGUGACGAAAGGGCCCUUUACACCCUGGAUUAUUUGUUUCAAAGUGUAAAUACUACCGUGACGAAAGGGCCCUUUACACACUGGAUUAUUUACCUUUAAAGUUUAUGACGAGCCUCUCUUGAUUUUCAUUCGCCAAACGGUUUCCGUAAUGUGGAAACUUUAUGUCAACUGAACCCUACCAUUCACCGCUCUAUUAUUCCAAUUUAUUUUAUUCUACUUUUCGGACAUCGGUAUCAACAUGAGAAAAAUGUGAGCAACGUGUUCAUUUACACCUUUUUCUUAAGAAUUAAAUGGACGCGAUCUGGGACGCAGUUCGGAGUGUCCCGCCGGACGCAAUUCCGAGUCUUCGGGACGGAAUCCGGACUCACCCGGGUAUUAAAACUAAGUAAUUUCUCGAGAAAAUUAUUGGCUUACCUGCAUGCAACUCGGAUCAGGUAUUGUAUGGGAUUGUAUGAUCUAUGGUUGUGGGGUCUGUACACACGCUUCUGUCCCACUUUGUGGGGACUCUCUAUCCAUGUGGGGUCAUUUUCCGUGGCCCCACAACCAAAAUCUUGACAGAAAAUGGCAUUUAUCGGCUAAAAAAAAGCCCGAUAGGUCAGGUUAGGUUAGGUUAGGUUAGGUUAGGUUAGGUCAGGUCAGGUUAGGUUAGGUUAGGUUAGGUUAGGUUAGUUUUACAACAACACACAAAUCCAGUGGCCCCACAACUAUUGUCGUACAAGACAGGGUGUAUGUAUGUAUGUAUGUAUGUAUGUGUCGCUUUUACAGCGCUCAUUGGCGCUCUGCGACCCCUAGCCGCCAAAGUUUGGGAGGGUAUUGUAUGUAGAAACUGAAAUUCCACCAAUGUUUCUGCUUUCUUUAGAGCUGCACUUGGGGUAGAAGAAUAAAUGCGCCUGAAUAUAAUGUCAAAGGAUGGGUAACCGCAAUAUUUACUUGACGAAUUAAUGGUCAGAAUUUUUUUUGGUACACAAACAGAUAAUAAGUAGAUAAUAAGGAACCAGUACAGUAUAGCCUUCGAAUAUUUCCUAGAUGAGGUAGUGGAUGUGGAUUAUAUUUUGAGUACAUAGUUGAGAGGAGAAUUGUUGAGAAGUUUCAAGACAAACUGAGAGAAACUCAAAGGAGCAUUUUGCUCAAAGAACUUUAUUUUAACGAUGAUUUUAGUAACAAGUACUUACAUUUCAAGUGGGGAGCUCACUAUAAUAGGGAAAAGUUGGAUGAUGAGUGGAAGAGGGGAAUUGAUUGGGCCGAAUAAGUGCGAUUUGAAAGUGGCUUCUGCAACAUGUGCAGUCUUCACAAUGAAGAGGACGUACUUCAAUUUUUAGCUCAAUGUCUGAUUAUGGAAUCAGACAUUGAGCACAUUGACUUAUUGAAGCUGAGCUCAGACAGUGUUGGUUUGAGGGUAUAAAACGGCAAUUGAAUGAGAAAACUUUCUGAAUCUAUUUUUAAGCGACAAUUUGAAGAAUUUGGCAAAUUAUGUGAGGUCUGCCUGAUGGGAAUAUAGAGAGGAGGUAAGAAAAUACUCGUCAGGUCGAUGUCCUAAAACUCGGUUAACAUUCCUGUUUUGUAUUUUAUAUAGUAUUCAAUUAUUAUUGUUAGGGUAUUUAUUUAUUAGUAUUAUAGUAUUUAUUUAUUAAAUUUAUAGUAAUUAUUUACACGAAAAAAAUGAAAUUGCUGAUUUAACAAUUUUGUAGUUUAAAAAAGUGUCAGACACGUUUCAAUGUAGAUUUUGCAAUAAAAAAUGCUUAAUUAACCACCCUCGUGGUUAAAUUAGCUUUCCACAAUUGUAAAAUCUACAUUUGAAAGAUGUCGGACAUACUUUUUAACAAUUCAAUUGUUAAAUCAGAAAUCCAUUUUUUCCGUGUAUUAUUGUUAUAGUAUUUAUUUAUUUAUUAUUGUUAUAGAAUGUAUUUAUAAUAGUUAUUAUGUAUUGUUAUGAUGGAUUUAUAAAAAUGGAAGAAGAAGGAAGAAAUAAUAAGGAAAAAUUCAUGAAAGCUGAUCGUAAUUAAGCGGUAAGAUCUGCAAUUCCCUCAGGUGUUUUUUCCAGGGGUUACUAGUCUUCAAUAUGUACUUUUACUGGUUUGUUGUCACUUAAAAAUUUUAAUAAAGAUUAUUAUUAUCAAUGAAGA
rnacentral:lncRNA from 1 species